GACGAACGCUGGCGGCGUGCCUAAUACAUGCAAGUCGAGCGGACAGAUGGGAGCUUGCUCCCUGAUGUUAGCGGCGGACGGGUGAGUAACACGUGGGUAACCUGCCUGUAAGACUGGGAUAACUCCGGGAAACCGGGGCUAAUACCGGAUGGUUGUUUGAACCGCAUGGUUCAGACACAAAAGGUGGCUUCGGCUACCACUUACAGAUGGACCCGCGGCGCAUUAGCUAGUUGGUGAGGUAACGGCUCACCAAGGCGACGAUGCGUAGCCGACCUGAGAGGGUGAUCGGCCACACUGGGACUGGGACACGGCCCAGACUCCUACGGGAGGCAGCAGUAGGGAAUCUUCCGCAAUGGACGAAAGUCUGACGGAGCAACGCCGCGUGAGUGAUGAAGGUUUUCGGAUCGUAAAGCUCUGUUGUUAGGGAAGAACAAGUGCCGUUCAAAUAGGGCGGCACCUUGACGGUACCUAACCAGAAAGCCACGGCUAACUACGUGCCAGCAGCCGCGGUAAUACGUAGGUGGCAAGCGUUGUCCGGAAUUAUUGGGCGUAAAGGGCUCGCAGGCGGUUUCUUAAGUCUGAUGUGAAAGCCCCCGGCUCAACCGGGGAGGGUCAUUGGAAACUGGGGAACUUGAGUGCAGAAGAGGAGAGUGGAAUUCCACGUGUAGCGGUGAAAUGCGUAGAGAUGUGGAGGAACACCAGUGGCGAAGGCGACUCUCUGGUCUGUAACUGACGCUGAGGAGCGAAAGCGUGGGGAGCGAACAGGAUUAGAUACCCUGGUAGUCCACGCCGUAAACGAUGAGUGCUAAGUGUUAGGGGGUUUCCGCCCCUUAGUGCUGCAGCUAACGCAUUAAGCACUCCGCCUGGGGAGUACGGUCGCAAGACUGAAACUCAAAGGAAUUGACGGGGGCCCGCACAAGCGGUGGAGCAUGUGGUUUAAUUCGAAGCAACGCGAAGAACCUUACCAGGUCUUGACAUCCUCUGACAAUCCUAGAGAUAGGACGUCCCCUUCGGGGGCAGAGUGACAGGUGGUGCAUGGUUGUCGUCAGCUCGUGUCGUGAGAUGUUGGGUUAAGUCCCGCAACGAGCGCAACCCUUGAUCUUAGUUGCCAGCAUUCAGUUGGGCACUCUAAGGUGACUGCCGGUGACAAACCGGAGGAAGGUGGGGAUGACGUCAAAUCAUCAUGCCCCUUAUGACCUGGGCUACACACGUGCUACAAUGGACAGAACAAAGGGCAGCGAAACCGCGAGGUUAAGCCAAUCCCACAAAUCUGUUCUCAGUUCGGAUCGCAGUCUGCAACUCGACUGCGUGAAGCUGGAAUCGCUAGUAAUCGCGGAUCAGCAUGCCGCGGUGAAUACGUUCCCGGGCCUUGUACACACCGCCCGUCACACCACGAGAGUUUGUAACACCCGAAGUCGGUGAGGUAACCUUUAUGGAGCCAGCCGCCGAAGGUGGGACAGAUGAUUGGGGUG
rnacentral:rRNA from 1 species